CUCGGGCGGCGGCAGGCUGCGGUCCCCGCGUUCAGCAGGGCAGUCAGAGGAGAUGGCGGCGGUCCCAGCACCUGCGCGCUGCUUUCUGAGCCGUCCUCAACGUCUCCGAGCAAAGGGCUUUCCCCCCCCAGGCCGCGGGCACGCAGCUGCGUUUCUGCUUCCAUACCCCUGCUAUGUGAACGUUAGGAAAGCGUUGUUUCCCCUUUCCCGUGCUGAAUGCCGCUGAGAGCCGCUGAACUAACGCAGUGGGAGGGCUGACACAAAAAUAACAUCUCUGGCGAUGUUUGCGUCACCUGCGUGCUGCUCCCCCGGCAAAUGCUCUGCUGGCAGAUGUGCUCACAUUGUGAGGGACGCAUCUUCCUCCUGGAAACAGCAGCCACCUGCGCUUGGUGCGGAUGGCCCAGGCUGAAUCCUUCUCAGCAGUGGUGGUGGACAUCUGCUCAGUGCUGCCGUGCUGUCCCUCCAGGCAUCCUGGAGCGAUGCGUUUGUACUGAGGUCUCCACAGGAUCACAGCAUGUCAGGGAUUGGAAGGGACCUCGAAAGAUCAUCCCACCCUGCACAGAACGUCUUAACAUUGCUGGCUUUAUGCGGUUGCUCUGAUAUUUACUGCAUUUUAUUUCUGUGUAAGCUUAAUCACGAUAAUCUGAAAAUAAAGUGGGAGGGAACAGAAAAAUACCUGGUUUCUGAACUGAAUUGUGUAUUCAGUUUAACAGUUUCACUGUUUACAAGGGUGGAUAGUGAGAGGACAAGGGGGAAUGGUCUUAAACUGACACAGGGGAGGUUUAGAUUAGACAUUAGGAGGAAGUUUUUCACACAGAGGGUGGUGAUACACUGGAACAUAAGAUAGUAGCUGUACGUUUUAACAAGUUGAAGGUCAGCAAAAAUAAGACUAGGCCUAAGUAGCAUAAAUUAAUGUCUUUUGGAAUUUUGCUGUCAUAUGAACAACAAGCAGUUUAGUUUGAGAGUGGGUUAUGAAUCCUUUGAAAGAAGCAUGUGGUGCAUGUGCAGUCAUAAGGUAAGUCCAGGCACUCAGAAGAGGGGCACUGCUUUUCUGUGUGCUUUUACAGUAUCUCAUGGCUUACUCUAUCAUGUAAUUUACAUUACAUAAUACUUAAUGAUCUCAGAAUACUAAUUCUAUGAAGAUACUGCUGUUUAUUGAGAUACAUGAUCCAGAGUGUUACUGAGGAUGAUAUCAGCUAAUUCCCACUGCCUUAUUUCUGACAAAAAUGAUUUUAGGAACCAUUUGUAUUUAAAACAAAACCAACCAAACAAAAAAAAAAACCCAGCUACUCCCAACUGUCUUGCUGGUUGUGCUUUGCAAUGUGUCCCUAUUGUAUUUAGUAAGCUAGUGUUUUGCAAAAUGAAGAUGACCAAAGGAGAGGAUCGAAGAAGAGCUCUGGGAGUUUAAAAGACUUUUGAAUUUUGCACUGUCAUUCCAGUCUUUCACUGUAUUCCCUCCAACAGCUUAAACAACUGCUGUAGAUGAACCAGUGUGAGGAGGUGGAGCCAGCGUUAGGAAGGCACGCUGCUUCAACAAAGCUGGAGGUAAGAACAACAGCAGGAGGGACACAGACCAGCCUUGCAAUCAGAGUGCUUACAGAGAGACAGAGGACAGAAGAAUUUUGGGUCUGAGCUUUGCCAGACAGAUCCUCACUUUGCAUUUUGAAUCUGACACCCCAGGGGCUUUAUAUUUUCCCUGUGUCCAUCUGCUGACAGGAGGAGUUUCAGCUAGUGUUUGGGCUUGCAUUUUAGGGCAUGUGGAGAAACAAAUUAGCAGUUGCCGCCGGGACAGUAUUUUGCCUUCAACUUCAAUGCCUGAGCUUAUACACUUCAGCAGAAGUUUCAAAUGUUACAGCAAAAUGUGCCGUAACUGCAUCAGUAGUCAAGGGAAGAGCCACCGAUGUCAUCUAUCUGGACUUCAGUAAGACCUUUGACACAGUCCCCCAUAACAUCCUUCUCUCCAAAUUGGAAGGAUAUGGAUUUGACAAGUGGACUGUUCAGUGGAUGAAAAACUGGUUACAAGAUUGUACCCAGAGAGUUGUGUUCAGUGGUUCGAUGUCUGGAUGGAGACCAGUGGCAAGUGGUGUCCCUCAGGAGUCAGUACUGGGACUAGUGCUCUUUAACAUCUUCAUCAAUGGCAUCAACAGUGGGAUCGAGUGUACUCUCAGCAAGGCUAUAGAUGAUACCAAGCUGUGUGAUGCAGUUGACACAUUCAAGGAACAGGAUGCCAGCCGGAGAAACCUAUGUAAGCCCAAGCAGUGGGCCCAGGUGAACCUCAUGAGGUUCAAUAAAUUGAAGUGCAAGGUCUUGCACCUGCAUUAUGGCAAAUCCUACUAUGGGAACAAGCUGGGGGAUAUAAGGAUGGUGCACAACUCUGCCAAAAAGGACUUGAGGUGGAUGGCAAGCUGGACAUAAGCCAGCAAUGUACCCUUGCAGCGCAGAAAGCCAACCAUAUCCUGAGCUGCAUGUACAAUAAACAAAUGUACAGUUGGAAGAAUAGCACAGUUAGGAUGGUACUUCACAGGUGUAUAGUUGGAAAGAUUAUCAUGGUGGAAAAGAGACAGUCAAAGAAGAAACGCUCACCCAUAUCCAAGAAUCCAGGCUCACAGUGGAAAACUCCAAAAAGGAGAGAUCUCCAGAAAGAGAUCCUUCCCCAGUGGAAGUCAGCCCUUAAAUUGAGUCUAGGAGAGGUGGAGCCAGGCUCCACCCCUUCCAGUCACUCAGGUGAAUUGCCUUCACUUGUGCUCCCACAGCUGACUCAGUCCUUUCCUCAGGUGCUCAAUCAGUGUUUCAGGCCGAACAGUUCCCAUCCACUCCACCCCUUCAUAGCAUGAACCAAUAAUCGAGCAAGCUAGAGGGUGAGCCUUCCCUAAUAAAGAUCCAGAGACACCACGAUGCUUAUACAAUUGCCUGUCGCCAUGCAGGUUGACACAAUUUAAGACGACUGAUGAUCAAUGUGUGGUUGAGGUUCAUGUUCUUUCAUGGGCCAGUGCUCGGUGGUGUUACUGGAAGUAUGCCAUCAUGUCGUGUAGGUCCAUCCUAUGUCACAUCAGUCCCACAUAGGCCAUCACCGGGUGUCGUGCUUGAUCUCACAGCAGCACUGGAACACUUCAAUGGUAUUUCGCUCCUUCUGUGAUCCUAGAGAUUCAAAUACUCACAGAGAGUAAUACAGAUGUUUCAGGGGUACCAGGAGGGGAAGAUCUGCCCUCCAGGGCAAGAUACAGGCCAUAUUCCUAUCCUGGGUCAACACUUCAGCUUGUACUGGGGCAUGCCCCAGCCGCCUCUACCAAACUCUUCGGCCAGAUGUCUGCAGCUGCAUAACUGUAUCAAAGGGGGUGUCCUGAUCUGACAUAGGGACAUGAUGGGGGGGUCCCUUUAGCAACGAAGAUUGGAGUGUUGACCACAAUAUCCAUAGGCCAUGUACCCAUUACCGGAGGGACUACCGAGCUUCCCACCUCCAGUAAUCUCCUCCAAGGUAGGAGGAGAUUGUGCAAGAAGGGCACACCACUUCGGUCCUACCUGUACCUACCAAGGCCAUUUUACUCUAUGGGUACCUGGUUCUAAAUUCUCAGGGGUAGGGACCAGAAGGUUAUUUUCAUUGCCAAUCUGGGGUUUUACCCAAUUAUCAGUGCCUGUAAUUUGGAUCCUAAGCGGGGAGGCCCAUGUUGUCUGUAGCAUUUUCAGGGCACUGGGUCUGCCAUCUUUAGGUCUUUCGUUCAGGUCCCACAGGGUUUCAUAGAGUCCCUUUGUCCACCCGUGCAGGGACUGUGAAUCUCUCUUCAGGGCAGCCUUAUGAAUACCGUUACGAUGUUCAAUGAGUCCUGCCCCUGUUGGAUUAUAUGGCAGGUGGAAUCACCAUCCAGUGUUGUUUUCUUCUGCCCAGUGUUGUAUCACGGUACCAGUAAAAUGAGUUCCUUGGUCACUCUCGAUGACUUGAGGUGUCCUGGAGGCAGACAGGAGCUCAGUAAGUGCUUGAUGGUAUAUGCCUGGUUUGCUCUUGGCACUGGAUAGGUCUGCAGUAGCCCACUUGCGGUAUCGAUGCAGGUCAGGGCAUAUCUCACCCCCUCAUACUGAGGGAGGGGCCCAAUAUAAUUGACCUGUCAUCGCUGGAGAGGAUUGUGUCCUCUAGCAAGAUGGGCUGUUGUUGCGGGCAGCAAUCUCAGUCUCAUCUUGGAGCAAGCGUCACAGUCUCAGCAUGCCUGGGUGAUGUCAGAUAGUUGCAUGGGCAGCUCCCAUGCUUUAGCAGCUGCCCAUAUUGUCUUUUGUCCAGCAUGCCAUAGCUUCUGAUGUAAUCAAUGGGUGAUGUUCUCAGAUGGUGAAUCCUCAGUCCAUCAAACUUGGGUUGGUGUGUCCGCUUCGUCAUUUCCUGGUGAUUGUAAAGGUUGAUGACCAGAAACAUGUUAGACACAUACAGUCCUGUGUUUAACUGCAUUCCAUAUGUCUAACCACAUAUCUCUGCCCAAGAUUGGUUGGGCAUGGAUAGUCCAUUCUUGGGUGGCCCACUGUGCAAUCCAAAGAGUGAGCCCCCAGUACACGGCCCAACUAUCUGUGCAGAUAUUCAGGACACUAUCACCAGAUUCCUUAGUUAUAACCAUCCACACGGCUUGCAGUUAUGCCCAUUGGCUGCUCUGACCAUCCGUCUCUUCAAACCAGACUGUCUCAGUGGAGGGAUGGUAUGCUACUGCUCUCCACUAACUCAGGUUGCUCUUGCUGGACCCAUCUGUGUGCCAGGCAUCUUCAGGAAUGGGAUAUUUCCCCUCCUGAAUGGGACUCUUCUCUGGUGGAGCAACCAAUGUGUCUUUUGGUGCCUCACUGUGAUAUGUCACUGGGCCUACAAUCUUCUGGAGUUCUUUCAGUGGUGAUGAAGAUAGACUAUUCCUCUGGCUAAGAUAGGCGACCCAUCACACCACCAUUUAUGCUUGGCCACCCUCGUCUUAGGAAUGUGAGUCAGAUCUUUCAUCCACCCCUGAAUUGGCAGGGUGUUCUUAACUAUGGAUUUGUCAAUAAUCCUCACCCCAAGUUUUGGGGGAUGAUUUUGAAAUUUUUGAUCGUCCUUCAACUGCCUCCAUAGCUGGAGGAGGACAUGAUUGGGCUGGUGAUCAAUUUUCGCAAAUUGAACCCCAGCCCGGAUUAAGCCAUUAAACAUUUGUUAUCAGGAUACCCGUAUGGGUCCUGAUUGAGGAGUUCAUAGGGUGGGUCUCCUGGUUUUAGUUACUAGAAGGACCUCUGCCCCUUCCAAUGUUCAGAUACUGCACCUGGUCCAAAGGCGCUCUGUCUCCCCUAGAUCGGCUACCAGCUGGGCAGCCUGUUGAACCACGGACUCUGAGGCUACUAGGGAGUUUAGUAUGGAAACUAGAGUUCCAUACAGAUGGGAAGGAGCCUGUUGCAGGAUCAGGUCUCUCAUGCCUAUUGAGAAUUUUACCAGGUGUGGGCUUUGAAAUGCGUCUUUGUAUAUCACCUCUCUUAUACUCAGUUCGUGAAUAUAGUUUUGAAGGUCUUCUGUGAAGGACCAUAAACCUGUGUGUAAUAGUAUGUCAGAUUUAUUGGCCAAACCAUAUGGCAUGCUGCCAUCAACCAAUCUAUUAUCGAGUGAUUCUUGUUGGUAUACUGGACAGCAGCAUAUAGCCCCUAAGGGCAGGGUGAACAGUAAUGGAUGCCAAUUUACAGAUUUCUGACCCACUGACCGUAACACUUUCCAUCCAUGAAUUCCAUCAUCGGAGAAGCCAGGCUGGUACGCUUUCUCUGGGCUUCCGUCUGAAUCACUGUACCAAGUCCAUUAAUUCCAUGGCCAUAUAAGGACAGGCUAUUACAUGUAAAUGUAUUUGGGCAGGGGGCCACUGAUCAGGGGGCACCCCUGCUGAUCUAUCUUGUAUUUUUUUGUUGUUGUUGUUGUUUGAGUUACUAUAGGACAGAUCUCAAAGGAAUCCAUUGCAGAUAGAGCUUUGAGAUCUGAUUUGGAAGCUUUGUCUUCUGGAUCCACUAGGUUAAUCAAUUCAGGAACCUGCGUAUCAUCUACUGCAAUGUUAUGGACCUGUUUUAUUGGGAAAUUUAGGCUGGAUUUUUUCCCCGUCAGUAUACCAAGUUGUUGUUCGAGUUUUUCAAUCUGAUCUCAUAACAGUAGAUUUUCACUUUCUAAAGUAUUGGUUGUCAUUUCAGCCUGAUUUAAAGCAAUUAAUAGUGGCCAUGCCACAGUAGAAGCAGCUAGCUGAUGUUCUUUUGUAACUAAUAUCCCUUCGCUCAAUCCAUGAGAAUAAUCUGCCAUGUGGGUUGGGGAAGGAGUAUUUCCUGUAACCUGCAGGGGACUCCAUUUUUCAAUUAUAGUCACCAGUUCAUAGUAAGGUGAUCCCAGAAAUCCUCAGAUCUGUCUGGGGAUUGUUUUGUCUAGGAGGAGGUAAUGUUCUCCCCCGCUGAACAAUUUAAAGAUAUUCUGAAGGAAAUACUUUUUUUUUUUUUGGCCUUCCUGGCUCACCAAAUGUAUAUUUGGAAGAGUAGUGCAGUGAGGAUGGUACUUUACAGGUGUUACAGUUGGAAAAAGUAUCAUGGUAGAAAAGAGACAAUCAAAGAAGAAAUGCUCACCUGUAUCCAAGGAUCUAGGCUCACAAUAAAAAACUCCAAAUGGAGCAAUCUCCAGAAAGAGAUCCUUCCCCCAGUCAGCCCUUAAGUGGGGUCUAGGAGAGGUGGAGCCAGGCUCCACCCCUCCUGGUCACACAGCUGAAUUGCCUUCACCUGUGCUCCCGCAGCUGACUCAGUCCUUUCCUAAGGUGAUCAAUCAGAGGUUCAGGAUGUGAUUCAGUUGUUCCCAUACAGUUGCAUCAAAGGAAGCAUGAUCAGCAGGUUGAGGGAGGUGAUCCUGCUCCUCUACUCUGUGUUGGUGAGGCCUCUGUAUUAUGUCCAGAUGUGGGAUCCUCAGGACAGACAUAGACCUGUUGGAGCGCAUCCAGAGGAGGGCCAAAAAAAUGAUCCAAGCAAUGAAACACCUUCCCUGUGAGAAUGGGCUGAGAGAGCUGGGGCUGUUCAGUCUGGAGAAGAGAAGGCUCUGAGGAGACUUGAUAAUGGCCUUUCAGUGUCUAAAAAGGGGCUAUAAGAAAGAAAAGGGCAGACUCUUUAGCAGGGUUUGUCGCGACAGGACAAAGGAAAAUGGUUUUAAAAUAAAGGAGAGAAAAUUCAGAUUGGAUAUAAGGAAAAAAUUUUACAAUAAGAAUGUUGAGGCAUUGGAACAGAUCACUCAGAGAGGUGGUAGAAGUCCUGUUCCUGGAGACAUUCAAAAUCAGGCUGGACCAGGCUCUGAGAAACCUGAUCUAGCUGUGGGUGUCCCUGUUCAUUGCAGGGAAGCUGGACUAGAUGUAGAAUGAUAUAAUCAAAAGAUUAUAUGAUUCUAUAAGUCAAUGAAGAUAAGGAGGGAUUUGUAAAGUAAGUUUCAAAAAAAUCACAGUGUUUUGUAGAAUCAUGGUAGUUAAUAGUGUGAGGCAUUUAGAGAACUAUGGUUGCGAGCAUCUCGGAAAUACAAAAUAGCAUUCCAUAGGAAAUGCAGGGAAAAAAAAUGAAAAUUUGAAGCUAGCUCCACCCUGCAACAAUUUAAAACAUAGUUGAAUAUUUAAAAAAAAAGUUUAGGCCUAGACUGUUAUUUCUGUUAUAAAAGUCAAAUCUUUGGAGAUGGAGAUGAUUAAUAAAUACACAAAAAUACAUUGUCUUUAAUAGACAAAAGCAAUACAUUGUUUUGAAAGAAUGUAAAAAAAACAAACAGCAUAAUCAAAAUGCUUUUAAAUUAGGGCUUUUCUUUCACCUUUCUUACUUUUUCUUUCCUUUCU
ensembl:lncRNA